GUUAUAUGGUCAAGUGACCAAGCGUGCACGGUGGAUGCCUUGGCAGUCAGAGGCGAUGAAGGACGUGGUAAUCUGCGAAAAGGUUCGGGGAGUCGAUAAACAGGCUUUGAUCCGAACAUGUCCGAAUGGGGGAACCCACUCUAUUUAUAGAGUAUCCCACAGUGAAUACAUAGCUGUGAGGAGGCGAACGAGGGGAACUGAAACAUCUAAGUACCCUUAGGAAAAGAAAUCAACCGAGAUUCCCUAAGUAGCGGCGAGCGAAAGGGGAUUAGCCCUUAAGUGGUUUUGGUGUUAGUAGAAGGCUCUGGAAAGUGCCGCGAUAAAGGGUGAUAGCCCCGUAUACGAAAACACCUUAAUCAUGAAAACGAGUAGGACGGGACACGUGUUAUCCUGUCUGAAUAUGGGGGGACCAUCCUCCAAGGCUAAAUACUCCUGACUGACCGAUAGUGAACCAGUACCGUGAGGGAAAGGCGAAAAGAACCCCUGUGAGGGGAGUGAAAUAGAUCCUGAAACCGUGUACGUACAAGCAGUGGGAGCGGACUUGUUCCGUGACUGCGUACCUUUUGUAUAAUGGGUCAACGACUUAUUUUCAGUAGCAAGGUUAAGCACAUAGUGGAGCCGUAGGGAAACCGAGUCUUAAUAGGGCGUUUAGUUGCUGGGAAUAGACCCGAAACCGGGCGAUCUAUCCAUGAGCAGGUUGAAGGUUGAGUAACAUCAACUGGAGGACCGAACCCACAUCCGUUGAAAAGGCUGGGGAUGACUUGUGGAUAGGAGUGAAAGGCUAAUCAAGCUCGGAGAUAGCUGGUUCUCCUCGAAAGCUAUUUAGGUAGCGCCUCGUAUCUCACCAUUGGGGGUAGAGCACUGUUUGGGCUAGGGGGUCAUCCCGACUUACCAACCCCAUGCAAACUCCGAAUACCAAUGAGUGCAAUUACGGGAGACACACGGCGGGUGCUAACGUCCGUCGUGGAAAGGGAAACAACCCAGACCGUCAGCUAAGGUCCCAAAGUUACAGUUAAG
rnacentral:rRNA from 1 species